UACGAAGGGGGCUAGCGUUGCUCGGAAUCACUGGGCGUAAAGCGCACGUAGGCGGCUUCUUAAGUCAGGGGUGAAAUCCUGGAGCUCAACUCCAGAACUGCCUUUGAUACUGAGGAGCUUGAGUCCGGGAGAGGUGAGUGGAACUCCGAGUGUAGAGGUGAAAUUCGUAGAUAUUCGGAAGAACACCAGUGGCGAAGGCGGCUCACUGGCCCGGUACUGACGCUGAGACGCGAAAGCGUGGGGAGCGAACAGG
rnacentral:rRNA from 1 species